rnacentral:rRNA from 1 species
ACUUAAGCAUAUCAAUAAGCGGAGGAAAAGAAACUAACAAGGAUUCCCCUAGUAACUGCGAGUGAAGCGGGAAAAGCUCAAAUUUAAAAUCUGGCGGUCUUUUGGCUGUCCGAGUUGUAAUCUAGAGAAGUGUUAUCCGCGCUGGACCGUGUACAAGUCUCCUGGAAUGGAGCAUCAUAGAGGGUGAGAAUCCCGUCUUUGACAUGGACUACCAGGGCUUUGUGAUGCGCUCUCAAAGAGUCGAGUUGUUUGGGAAUGCAGCUCAAAAUGGGUGGUAAAUUCCAUCUAAAGCUAAAUAUUGGCGAGAGACCGAUAGCGAACAAGUACCGUGAGGGAAAGAUGAAAAGAACUUUGGAAAGAGAGUUAAACAGUACGUGAAAUUGCUGAAAGGGAAACGCUUGAAGUCAGUCGCGUCGUCCAGGGAUCAACCUUGCUUUUGCUUGGUGCACUUUCUGGUUCGAUGGGUCAGCAUCAAUUUUGACUGUUGGAAAAAGGUUGAGGGAAUGUGGCAUCUUUGGAUGUGUUUAUAGCCCUUGGUCACAUACAAUGGUUGGGAUUGAGGAACUCAGCACGCCGCAAGGCCGGGUUUUAAACCACGUACGUGCUUAGGAUGCUGGCAAUAUGGCUUUAAUCGACCCGUCUUGAAACACGGACCAAGGAGUCUAACAUGCCUGCGAGUGUUUGGGUGGAAAACCCGAGCGCGUAAUGAAAGUGAAAAGUUGAGAUCCCUGUCGUGGGGAGCAUCGACGCCCGGACCAGACCUUUUGUGACGGUUCCGCGGUAGAGCAUGUAUGUUGGGACCCGAAAGAUGGUGAACUAUGCCUGAAUAGGGUGAAUCCAGAGGAAACUCUGGUGGAGGCUCGUAGCGAUUCUGACGUGCAAAUCGAUCGUCAAAUUUGGGUAUAGGGGCGAAAGACUAAUCGAACCAUCUAGUAGCUGGUUCCUGCCGAAGUUUCCCUCAGGA